rnacentral:rRNA from 1 species
UACGUAGGGCGCAAGCGUUGUCCGGAAUUAUUGGGCGUAAAGAGCUCGUAGGCGGCUAGUCGCGUCGGCUGUGAAAACCUGGGGCUCAACCCCGGGCCUGCAGACGAUACGGGCUAGCUAGAAUUCGGUAGGGGAGACUGGAAUUCCUGGUGUAGCGGUGAAAUGCGCAGAUAUCAGGAGGAACACCGGUGGCGAAGGCGGGUCUCUGGGCCGAUAUUGACGCUGAGGAGCGAAAGCGUGGGGAGCGAACAGG